CGAAAUGCGAUAAGUAAUGUGAAUUGCAGAAUUCAGUGAAUCAUCGAAUCUUUGAACGCACAUUGCGCCCGCCAGAAUUCUGGCGGGCAUGCCUGUUCGAGCGUCAUUUCAACCCUCGAGCUCCCCUUGCGGGGGGAGCCCGGCGUUGGGGACGCGGCGCCAACAGCGCCGGCCCCGAAAUGGAGUGGCGGCCCGUCCGCGGCGACCUCUGCGUAGUAACAUCCACUCGCACCGGGACCCGGGCGCGGCCACGCCGUAAAACACCCCACCUUCCGAAUGUUGACCUCGAAUCAGGUAGGAAUACCCGCUGAACUUAAGC
rnacentral:misc_RNA from 1 species